GCCAGUGUGGUGUGGUGGUUUGAGUGUUCGACUAGGACUCUGGGGAGACCAGGGUUCGAUUCCCAGCUCAGCCA